GAUGAACGCUGGCGGCGUGCCUAAUACAUGCAAGUCGAGCGAACGGACGAGAAGCUUGCUUUUCUGAUGUUAGCGGCGGACGGGUGAGUAACACGUGGAUAACCUACCUAUAAGACUGGGAUAACUUCGGGAAACCGGAGCUAAUGCCGGAUAAUAUUUUGAACCGCAUGGUUCAAAAGAGAAAGACGGUCUUGCUGUCACUUAUAGAUGGAUCCGCGCUGCAUUAGCUAGUUGGUAAGGUAACGGCUUACCAAGGCAACGAUGCAUAGCCGCCCUGAGAGGGUGGUCGGCCACACUGGAACUGAGACACGGUCCAGACUCCUACGGGAGGCAGCAGUAGGGAAUCUUCCGCAAUGGGCGAAAGCCUGACGGAGCAACGCCGCGUGAGUGAUGAAGGUCUUCGGAUCGUAAAACUCUGUUAUUAGGGAAGAACAUAUGUGUAAGGAACUGUGCACAUCUUGACGGUACCUAAUCAGAAAGCCACGGCUAACUACGUG
rnacentral:rRNA from 1 species